rnacentral:rRNA from 1 species
GCUAAUACCGGAUAACAACAGAUGAUGCCUAUCAACUGUUUAAAAGAUGGUUCUGCUAUCACUCUUGGAUGGACCUGCGGUGCAUUAGCUAGUUGGUAGGGUAACGGCCUACCAAGGCGAUGAUGCAUAGCCGAGUUGAGAGACUGAUCGGCCACAUUGGGACUGAGACACGGCCCAAACUCCUACGGGAGGCAGCAGCG